rnacentral:rRNA from 1 species
AUUGAACGCUGGCGGCAUGCCUUACACAUGCAAGUCGAACGGCAGCACGGGGCAACCUGGUGGCGAGUGGCGAACGGGUGAGUAAUGCAUCGGAACGUACCUCUCAGUGGGGGAUAACGUAGCGACAGUUACGCUAAUACCGCAUAUUCUGUGAGCAGGAAAGCAGGGGAUCGCAAGACCUUGCGCUGAUUGAGCGGCCGAUGUCAGAUUAGCUAGUUGGUGAGGUAAAGGCUCACCAAGGCGACGAUCUGUAGCGGGUCUGAGAGGAUGAUCCGCCACACUGGAACUGAGACACGGUCCAGACUCCUACGGGAGGCAGCAGUGGGGAAUUUUGGACAAUGGGGGCAACCCUGAUCCAGCCAUGCCGCGUGAGUGAAGAAGGCCUUCGGGUUGUAAAGCUCUUUCGGCCGGGAAGAAAUCGCACGGGCUAAUACCCUGUGUGGAUGACGGUACCGGAAUAAGAAGCACCGGCUAACUACGUGCCAGCCGCCGCCGUAAGAC